CACGGUAAACGAUGGAUGCCCGCUGUUUGCGAUAUACUGUGAGCGGCCAAGAGAAAUCGUUAAGCAUCCCACCUGGGGAGUACGCCGGCAACGGUGAAACUCAAAGGAAUUGACGGGGGCCCGCACAAGCGGAGGAACAUGUGGUUUAAUUCGAUGAUACGCGAGGAACCUUACCCGGGCUUGAACUGCAGGAGAACGAUACAGAGAUGUUGAGGUCCUUCGGGACUCCUGUGGAGGUGCUGCAUGGUUGUCGUCAGCUCGUGCCGUGAGGUGUCGGCUUAAGUGCCAUAACGAGCGCAACCCUUUUCGUCAGUUGCCAUCAGGUGAAGCUGGGCACUCUGGCGAUACUGCCACCGUAAGGUGUGAGGAAGGUGGGGAUGACGUCAAAUCAGCACGGCCCUUACGUCCGGGGCUACACACGUGUUACAAUGGGGAGUACAGAGAGUCAACCGCCGGCAACGUCGGUUUAAUCAAGAAAGCUCUCCUCAGUUCGGAUUGGGGUCUGCAACCCGACC
rnacentral:rRNA from 1 species